rnacentral:lncRNA from 1 species
GACCGACCCAGAAUGCGAACAAACCAAGAAACCAACAAACAAACAAACACAAGUCGAAGGAGGAGGUCGGGGCUGCUGGAUGCUGCGCGUGAGGCAAAGGUGUGCCGGAGAGAGUGCGCGCGCGAGAAACAGGAGGGGGGGGUAGGCGGGGGGGUGCCUCCCCGCGUGACAGAGACUGUUACGCACUUCUUAUUCAGAGCGAGUGGCCAUUUCGCAGGGGCAAGUACUGUAAACACCUCCAUCACCUGGGCACGUACCUUGUAUAAUACAGCGCAUGUUUGUUUUGGAAAACACACAGCGCUUCGGUGCCUCAGGACGGGGAAAGACGCCAGCUCCCGCCGCAUCUCUACUUCAGCCAGCAAAGGAAGGAGCGGCGCCGGCAGGUGGAGUCCAAGUAGAAUAUCUGAAGAGGAGAGAAAAAGGUGAAAGACUUCAGAGUCAAAGAAAUGUCGCGGCGAAAACAGAGAGAAUGGCUGAUGAAGCGGCUAUCAUGGAGGACCUAAGCGUGCUGCACGUGUGAAUCAUGAGCGCAGAG